rnacentral:snoRNA from 12 species
GAUCAAUGAUGAAACUAGCCAAAUCUGAGCAUCGGAAGACCUUCCAGUCUACCUUACGCAUGAUCUCUUAGCUCUGAGA